rnacentral:lncRNA from 10 species
GAGGCUGCGGGCCGGACUCAGGUCUGCGGGCUGACCCGGCCGCUCCCGCGCCCUGGGCGUGCCGGGGGCCGGAAGCAGAGGGCGCAGGGCUCCAGGCGCCUGGGUUUCGGGCCUAACGGGCGGUGGAGAUCAGCUGGGCCCGAAAGAGGCGGGGCCAGAAAACCUGAGUCUGCAGAAACGGGGUGUGCGCGCCAACGCGCUGGGCGCGGGGACUGGGCCGCACCCGGCGCUCCCUGCCCUGCGGACUCCGGCUGGAGCUUGAUUUGCAGUUUGCUAGACGCCACCAUUAAGAGAUUGCCAGACAGCAAAGAAUAGAAAGAGUGGCGCUUUUAACUUUUGUUUUGGUUGGUUGAAUUUUUUUUUUCCCUCUCGGCUGGCAUUAACAGCGGUGAACCAGCCGGCUUAUACCAAGACUCUCCGAAUUCCCUUCGAUUCGAAGGUCAGCGUCUCCUGAGUUAGACGUCGAAUCUGAGAAUGGUGGUGUACCACAGAGCUCGAAAGUGAGCCCGAAAGUUGGCCGGUCACUAAGACAAACGCUCUGGCUUCACGCUGCAGUUCUAAAAUGCCGCCUUUAACUGUGAAGUACUUUUUAACUGUGAGGGAAAAAUAGAAUACGGAAAAAAAAAGGACUGAACCCGUGCCUCGGACCAGGGUCUAGUAGGCUGAAGGAACUUACCUGAUGUGGACCCCUCUACAUUAGUCUCAUCUGAAGAUCCGUCCUCCUAACCCAGCACUCACACAUUUG